ensembl:misc_RNA 7SK 7SK RNA
GGAUGUGAGGGCGAUCUGGCUGCGACAUCUGUCACCCCAUUGAUCGCCAGGGUUGAUUCGGCUGAUAUGACUGGCUAGGCGGGUGUACCCUUCCUCCCUCACCCCUCCAUGUGCGUCCCUCCCGAAGCUGCGUGCAGGGUCGAAGAGGACGGUCUUCCCCGAAUAGAGACGGACCCGUCUUCGAUCGAGUGUGUAUGUGUAGCUGCGCUCCCCCUGCAAGGACCCCCACACAAGCUCUCAAGAAGCAGGAGAAAUUCAGUAGGUGGGACGGAAAUACUUACUAUUAACGAGUUUUCAUAAGAAGAACACUCACAAGGCAGACGUGAUUUUGC